rnacentral:rRNA from 1 species
CGAGAGAAAUAUAAGGGCGUAUGGUGGAUGCCUAGGCUUUUGGAAGGCGAUGAAGGACGCGGUGUGGCGGCGAUACGCUUCGGGGAGGUGCCAAGCAACCUUUGAUCCGGAGAUGUCCGAAUAGGGAAACCUUAUGGAGCAACCCUCCAUAAUCCGGGAGCAAUCUCGGAUGCAUACCACGGGAAGUGAAACAUCUCAGUACCGUGAGGAACAGAAACCAAUAAGUAUUUCGUCAGUAGCGGCGAGCGAACGCGAAGGUAGCCCAAACUGCAGAAUUUCUCAGACUGCUUGUAUCACUACGAGCGGUCCGAGAAAUUCUCAGGGUAGUAAGGCGUUGAUAUCUGCUUUAAGCAGAAAAAAGUUACAAAUCGUAUUGAUAGCCGAAGCCGCUGGGAAGCGGUGCCCUAGAGGGUGAAAGCCCCGUAGGCGAAAUCGGUGCGACUUUUUCAAUGUCCUUGAGUAACUCGAGACACGUAUGGCUCGAGUGAAUUUGCCGGAACUAACCGGUAAGGCUAAAUACUUCCGAAGACCGAUAGCGCAUAGUACCGCGAGGGAAAGGUGAAAAACACCCCGGUGAGGGGAGUGAAAUAGUUCUGAAACCAUAUGUCUACAAGGAGUCGGAGAGGGCGCAAGUCCUCGACGGCGUGCCUAUUGAAGAAUGAGCCUGCGAGUUUAUGUGUGCCGCGCUUGGCUAAGGGGGAUGACCCUGGAGCCGUAGGGAAACCGAGUGUGAAUAGCGCGUCUGUGGCACGCAUAAGACCCGAAGCGUUGUGAGCUACCUAUGAGCAGGGUGAACUCUUGAGAAAUCAAGAGGGAGGCCCGAACCGUUUGGCCGUGCAAAACCAUCGGAUGACUUGUGGGUUGGAGUGAAAAGCUUAUCGAACAACGUAAUAGCUGGUUCUCUCUGAAACAGCUUUUGGGCUGGCGUCGUGGUAAUUGAAUGAUGGGGGUAGAGCACUGGAAGGACAAGACAGGGAGCAAUCUCGCUUGUCCUAUCAAACUCCGAAUACCAUUAUUGCUACACGGCAGUUAGUACGUGGGGGCUAAGCUCCACCGUACAAAAGGAGAAGAGUCCUAGAUCUCAAGUUAAGGUCCCAAAAUUCACGCUCAGUGCAUCACAAGGAGGUGGAAUCUCACAAACAAUGAGGAUGUUGGCUUAGAAGCAGCCACCAUUCAAAGAAAGCGUAACAGCUCACUCAUCGAGAGAUUCUGCGCCGAAGAUAAUCGGGGCUUAAGCGUGAUACCGAAACUGAGGGCUUGAGUGUGCUUCGGCACAUUUGAGCGGUAAGAGAGCAUUCCCAUGGCGAUGAAGCUGAAGGCGUGAGCCACAGUGGAGCAUUGGGAAGAGAAAAUGCAGGCACAAGUAACCGCAAUGCGGGUGAAAUCCCCGCACGCCGAAAGAUCAAGGUUUCCUCCUCAACGACGAUCGGAGGAGGGUUAGUCGAGCCUAAGCCAAUGGCGAAAGCCGGAGGUGAUGGACACACGGUUAAUAUUCCGUGACUUCGGCACGUUUCGAUGGGAUGACGGAGGUUAGUACUGCGAACGAUUUAUUGGAUUAUCGUUUGCGAUCGAGAGGACGCUGCGUAGGCAAAUCCGCGCGGCAUCUCCCAACGAUUGUGAGGCAGUUUUGGGUUCGCCCAAAACGACUCGCAGGAGCAGCCUUCCAAGAAAAAUCUCUAAGAUUAAACGUGUCGAAACCGUACCGCAAACCGCCACAGGUGAUCAGGUCGAGAAGACCAAGGCGAACGAGUGAGAGGUCCCCAAGGAACUCGGCAAAAAAGCAGCCGUAACUUCGGAAUAAGGCUUGCCUCACGCAAGUGAGGCCGCAGCGAAAGUAUCUCUGGCAACUGUUUACCAAAAACACAGCUCCCUGCGAACUCGCAAGAGGAAGUAUAGGGGGUGACACCUGACCAAUGCGAGAAGGUCAAAUACGGACGUUCCAUGGCCGCAAGGUUAUGGGGUGGCUCUGUAUAAGCCCUCGUCAAUGUCGGCAAUAACUAUAAUUGUCCUAAGGUAGCGAAAUUCCUUGUCAGGUAAGUUCUGACGCGCACGAAUGGUGUAAUGACUGGAGAACUGUCUCGGGGACUUGCUCGGUGAAAAUACAGUACCGGUGAAGAUGCCGGUUACCUGCAGUUAGACGAAAAGACCCCAGAAGCUUUACUGCAACUUGAUAUUGCGCCUACGGUUCUUCUGCGUAGCAUAGGUGGGAGAGGUUUGAUGGCGACGGUUUUGGCUGUCGUCUACUCGUCCGUGAAAUACCACUCUGAAGCGUUGUAUGUGCUAACCGGUGCGGCAAAAACGCACCGAGACAGUAUCUGGCGGGCAGUUUUAGUGGGGCGCUAUCCUCCUAAAGAGUAACGGAGGAGUGCAUUAAGGUACCCUAGGCGCGAAUGGAAACCGUGCCGAUAGCGUAAUGGCAAAAGGGUGCUUGACUGCGAGUCGUGAAUGACAAGCAGGUGCGAAAGCAGGCCAUAGUGAACCGACCAUCCGCAUUAGAGGCGGUGGAAGAUUAUCUGACAAAAGCUACUCUGGGGAUAACAGGCUAGUUCCGCCUAAGCGUCCAUAGCGACGGCGGAGUUCGGCACCUCGAUGUCGGCUCAACAUAUCCCGGGGGUGGAGAAGCUCCCAAGGGUUUGGCUGUUCGCCAAUUAAAAUGUUACGUGAGCUGGGUUCAGACCGUCGUGAGACAGGUUGGUCUCCUAUCUACUGCAGGCGUCGAUUCUUGAGGAAAUUUGCUCCUAGUACGAGAGGACCGGAGUGAACUGACCGCUGGUGUGGCUGCUGUCCUGCCAAGGGCAACGCAGCGUAGCUAUGUCGGGUCGGGAUAAGCGCUGAAAGCAUCUAAGCGCGAAACCCAUUCCAAGAUGAGGAAUCAUUGAGAUCCGUGAGAGAUGAUCACGUUGAUAGGCUUCAGGUGUACGCACCGUAAGGUGCUGAGCCGAGAAGUACUAAUGCAUCGAAUUUCUCUGGAU